AAAUUCCAAUCGAACCUGGAGAUAGCUGGUUCUCUCCGAAAUAGCUUUAGGGCUAGCCUCAAGUGAUGAUUAUUGGAGGUAGAGCACUGUUUGGACGAGGGGCCCCUCUCGGGUUACCGAAUUCAGACAAACUCCGAAUGCCAAUUAAUUUAACUUGGGAGUCAGAACAUGGGUGAUAAGGUCCGUGUUCGAAAGGGAAACAGCCCAGACCACCAGCUAAGGUCCCAAAAUAUAUGUUAAGUGGAAAAGGAUGUGGCGUUGCCCAGACAACUAGGAUGUUGGCUUAGAAGCAGCCAUCAUUUAAAGAGUGCGUAAUAGCUCACUAGUCGAGUGACACUGCGCCGAAAAUGUACCGGGGCUAAACAUAUUACCGAAGCUGUGGAUUGUCCUUUGGACAAUGGUAGGAGAGCGUUCUAAGGGCGUUGAAGCAUGAUCGUAAGGACAUGUGGAGCGCUUAGAAGUGAGAAUGCCGGUGUGAGUAGCGAAAGACGGGUGAGAAUCCCGUCCACCGAUUGACUAAGGUUUCCAGAGGAAGGCUCGUCCGCUCUGGGUUAGUCGGGUCCUAAGCUGAGGCCGACAGGCGUAGGCGAUGGAUAACAGGUUGAUAUUCCUGUACCACCUAUAAUCGUUUUAAUCGAUGGGGGGACGCAGUAGGAUAGGCGAAGCGUGCGAUUGGAUUGCACGUCUAAGCAGUAAGGCUGAGUAUUAGGCAAAUCCGGUACUCGUUAAGGCUGAGCUGUGAUGGGGAGAAGACAUUGUGUCUUCGAGUCGUUGAUUUCACACUGCCGAGAAAAGCCUCUAGAUAGAAAAUAGGUGCCCGUACCGCAAACCGACACAGGUAGUCAAGAUGAGAAUUCUAAGGUGAGCGAGCGAACUCUCGUUAAGGAACUCGGCAAAAUGACCCCGUAACUUCGGGAGAAGGGGUGCUCUUUAGGGUUAACGCCCAGAAGAGCCGCAGUGAAUAGGCCCAAGCGACUGUUUAUCAAAAACACAGGUCUCUGCUAAACCGUAAGGUGAUGUAUAGGGGCUGACGCCUGCCCGGUGCUGGAAGGUUAAGAGGAGUGGUUAGCUUCUGCGAAGCUACGAAUCGAAGCCCCAGUAAACGGCGGCCGUAACUAUAACGGUCCUAAGGUAGCGAAAUUCCUUGUCGGGUAAGUUCCGACCCGCACGAAAGGCGUAACGAUUUGGGCACUGUCUCAACGAGAGACUCGGUGAAAUCAUAGUACCUGUGAAGAUGCAGGUUACCCGCGACAGGACGGAAAGACCCCGUGGAGCUUUACUGUAGCCUGAUAUUGAAAUUCGGCACAGCUUGUACAGGAUAGGUAGGAGCCUUUGAAACGUGAGCGCUAGCUUACGUGGAGGCGCUGGUGGGAUACUACCCUAGCUGUGUUGGCUUUCUAACCCGCACCACUUAUCGUGGUGGGAGACAGUGUCAGGCGGGCAGUUUGACUGGGGCGGUCGCCUCCUAAAAGGUAACGGAGGCGCUCAAAGGUUCCCUCAGAAUGGUUGGAAAUCAUUCAUAGAGUGUAAAGGCAUAAGGGAGCUUGACUGCGAGACCUACAAGUCGAGCAGGGUCGAAAGACGGACUUAGUGAUCCGGUGGUUCCGCAUGGAAGGGCCAUCGCUCAACGGAUAAAAGCUACCCCGGGGAUAACAGGCUUAUCUCCCCCAAGAGUUCACAUCGACGGGGAGGUUUGGCACCUCGAUGUCGGCUCAUCGCAUCCUGGGGCUGUAGUCGGUCCCAAGGGUUGGGCUGUUCGCCCAUUAAAGCGGUACGCGAGCUGGGUUCAGAACGUCGUGAGACAGUUCGGUCCCUAUCCGUCGUGGGCGUAGGAAAUUUGAGAGGAGCUGUCCUUAGUACGAGAGGACCGGGAUGGACAUACCUCUGGUGUACCAGUUGUCGUGCCAACGGCAUAGCUGGGUAGCUAUGUGUGGACGGGAUAAGUGCUGAAAGCAUCUAAGCAUGAAGCCCCCCUCAAGAUGAGAUUUCCCAACUUCGGUUAUAAGAUCCCUCAAAGAUGAUGAGGUUAAUAGGUUCGAGGUGGAAGCAUGGUGACAUGUGGAGCUGACGAAUACUAAUCGAUCGAAGACUUAAUCAA
rnacentral:rRNA from 2 species